rnacentral:piRNA from 1 species
GACAAGGUCCAUCAAGGAAUUGCCAAGUU